GGGGUGAGUGAACAAUAAAAGUGCUUUACUAAAUUGCUUGCUUGCACUAGUUAUUUUGCUUUCAAAAAUUCAGUUCAAAUUUAUGUUUAACUUAUUUUUCUUUCAAUAAAGCUUAAAAUAAGAUGCACUUCUGGCUGACAAAUUUUUGAGUGUGAAAUAUGCACGGGAGAAUUCAGCUAAAAAAGUUAUAUUUUUACUAUUCCGUAAGAACUACUUUAAAAUAUUUUUGCUGAACAUGCAGAUAUUGUUAGUAUUUGUGAUUUUAAUUGUUUGAACUUCAAUGUCUCAAGCUCAAAUUCCGUUUAAGAAAUUUUAAUAUAGUAUCAAGAACAGGCAAAGAAAAAGAAAAAGUAAAAGAAACUUGGAGGUUCUAUCUGAGUCGUUGAAUCUUCAGGGGCAAACUCACUUUAGAACAGGUGGGGUACAUGUCCAUUAUUUAGAAUAGUGCUUCAUGUACUAAUUUUAAAAUCAAAAUAUAUCAACGGCACUAUUUUAGCCAUAAUAACUAUUUCACUGUGUAUUCCACAAAAUAAAUGUAUACAUAUAUAGCGUUAUUUAUUAUAAAAUCAAUUGCACAUUUGCACUUUUUAUAAAAAAGAAUCAGUUGAGGCUUUGACCGGCUUAUAUGUUUAGGUAAGAUCAACUUGUUAAGUUGAAAUUGGGAGGUCAAAUGAGUCAAAGAGUACCUUCCCUCAAGAAAGUUAACAGCUAACAAAAGUACUUUAUUUUGUAACGAGUUCCCUCCCUCUUUUUACCAAUCUCUUCAGCCAUUGUCAUUAUUAUUAUUAUUAUUAUCUUUCUCCUGUCUUCCACCACCACUCACGAACUAAUCAUCCUAAAUAAGAAUUAGUUCCCCCCAGAAUUGUUCUUCUGCAAAGCAGUCCAUGGCAAAAACAACCAUGUUAGCUGAAAGGAAAGUGCGAGAGAAUUGUUUGCAUGCCUCUGUCAGUCCAGGAUCCGGUCCCAGGUGUUCUGUAAUGUCUCAACAACCAGGUGCUGAAGAACUAGGCUCUGAAAAAUCAGCUAGUAUACAAAUGCAUACAAGCAUUAGCAGAAUCAAGGCAUGAUGCUGGUCUGGCAAGUUGACAUUGUGAGAGUUUUGAGCUAAAACUGAAAAUGGUGCUCUUGGUUGCUGAUUUAUUGGAAUCCCAUUUUGUUUAUGUGAUCUGUCUCCAAAGUUGAUCUUUUCUGCAGCAUCAGGGAUAUGGGAUCUCCUAUAUUGCAAUAGGAUGACAUGUUAACAUUCUUCUUAAUAGAAUUUGUAUAUUUUGAUCCCUUAAUUCACCAUACCUCAUUUUCUUAAUAGCUACUGCAGAUUCUGAUGCUA